GCAGGGCGUGGUGGCGCACACCUGUAAUCCCAGUGGCUCGAGAGGCUGAGGCAGGAGGAUCAGGAGUUCAAAGUCAGCCUCAGCAAUUUAUCAAGGCCCUCAGCAACUUAGUGAGAACCUGUCUCUA
rnacentral:sRNA from 1 species